UACGUAGGGUGCAAGCGUUGUCCGGAAUUAUUGGGCGUAAAGAGCUCGUAGGCGGUUUGUUGCGUCGGCUGUGAAAUCCCGAGGCUCAACCUCGGGUCUGCAGUCGAUACGGGCAAACUUGAGUGUUGCAGGGGAGACUGGAAUUCCUGGUGUAGCGGUGAAAUGCGCAGAUAUCAGGAGGAACACCGGUGGCGAAGGCGGGUCUCUGGGCAACAACUGACGCUGAGGAGCGAAAGCGUGGGGAGCGAACAGG
rnacentral:rRNA from 1 species